rnacentral:rRNA from 1 species
AUUGAACGCUGGCGGCAGGCCUAACACAUGCAAGUCGAACGAGUCGCGCACGGGUGAGUAAUGUGUGGGAAACCGCCUUGUGGGGGGGGAAAUCUACUGGAAGCUGUCUCUAAUCCCGUAUACUCUCGUAUGCGCCCAUAUGGGAUUAGCGAGUAGGGGGGGUAAAGGCUCACCGAGGCGACGAUCCCUAGCGGGUCUGAGAGGAUGACCAGCCACACGGGAACUGAGACACGGUCCAGACUCCUACGGGAGGCAGCAGUGGGGAAUAUUGCACAAUGGGCGCAAGCCUGAUGCAGCCAUGCCGCGUGUAUGAAGAAGGCCUUCGGGUUGUAAAGUACUUUCAGCGGGGAGGCGUUACCCGCAGAAGAAGCACCGGCUAACUCCGUGCCAGCAGCCGCGGUAAUUC